rnacentral:rRNA from 1 species
AUGUCCGCCGACGAGGCCGCACUGAAGACCUGUCAUGAGAGAAUAAACCUUAGUGUAGCUGCCUCACAUCAAGCUGAGAAUGGACCCGUCACCACAGUUAGUUCCAAGAAAUCAGAGGAGGCGACCUAUGCAUACCUUCCUCCUAUCGAGUCAACUGACGCGCACCUUCAUGAGUUUGCAGAGGCCAUGAGAACUGUUGGAAAAGCACUGCAACAAGUCGCGGAAGGGAAAGCUGCUGCCCAAGCAGAGGCAGCUGAGUGGAAGCGCAAGUAUGAAUCUGAGAAGGCAGCCAAGGCACACACGCAUCACAGUGUAAUUAAAGGCUGCAGCAACUGUGUCAAGGACAAGCUAGAGCAUUUGGCUAGUAAACUGACACUGGAGACUGCCUCGGCUGAUGAAACAGGCUGUUGCGGAAACCAUGGGAUCUGCUCACGUCAAAUUCUCCAGGAUCAGUGUCCUGGACCUAACCGUAAAUCAGAUGGCAGGAUUGUUGGAAGAAAGGUACCAUUUAGACUUUCGUGGGGUAGCAAUGGGGAUAAGAACGGUCAGCACAAGCAUGAUUUUGUGUCCUUCGAAAAAGGGGAUAUUACAACAGCAGAACGCAGCAAUAAACAGAUUUUUCUGAAAUGGGAUUCCCCUCCACAAACAGUUCUUUUUGUGACUAAACCUAAUUCCAACUCCGUGCAUGCUCUCUGUUCCGAAAUGGUUAGAUGGCUUAAAGAACAUAAUAACAUAAACAUCUUCGUAGAGCCACGAGUUAGCAAGGAACUACUGAUUGAAGAUUCUUACUUCAACUUUAUUCAGACAUGGGAUAAUGAUGAGGAAAUGAAGACAUUACACACGAAGGUUGACCUCAUUGUAACUCUCGGCGGUGAUGGAACUGUUCUGUGGGCUGCAUCAUUGUUCAAAGGGCCAGUUCCCCCAGUGGUUGCAUUCUCUCUUGGAUCAUUGGGCUUCAUGACUCCCUUCCCAAGCGAGCAGUAUCGUGAGUGCUUGGGCAAUGUGCUGAAAAGGCCAUUUGCUAUCACACUGAGGAGCCGGCUGCACUGUCAUGUAAUUCGUGAUGCAGCUAAAGAUGAAGUUGAGACUGGGGAACCGAUUCUAGUGCUUAAUGAAGUUACAAUUGACCGAGGAAUGUCAUCUUACCUUACCUACUUAGAAUGCUAUUGUGAUAGUUCUUUUGUUACAUGCGUACAAGGAGAUGGGCUAAUAAUAUCAACAACAUCUGGAAGCACAGCCUAUUCACUGGCAGCUGGAGGAUCAAUGGUACAUCCACAGGUCCCAGGGAUCCUUUUCACACCAAUCUGCCCCCAUUCAUUGUCAUUCCGGCCUCUGAUACUGCCGGAAUACGUCACUCUGCGCGUGCAAGUACCGUUCAACAGCAGAGGGCAAGCCUGGGCGUCCUUCGACGGCAAGGGCAGAAUUCAGCUAGGGCCUGGCGACGCCCUCAUCUGCAGCGUCUCUCCAUGGCCCUUGCCCACGGCGUGCCUGGUGGACUCGACAACGGACUUCCUGCGGAGCAUCCAUGAGGGCCUCCACUGGAACCUCAGGAAGAGCCAGGCACUGGACGGCCCUGGCUGA